rnacentral:rRNA from 1 species
GGGGAAUUUUGGACAAUGGGCGCAAGCCUGAUCCAGCCAUGCCGCGUGUCUGAAGAAGGCCUUCGGGUUGUAAAGGACUUUUGUUAGGGAAGAAAAGGAUAGUGUUAAUACCAUUAUCUGCUGACGGUACCUAAAGAAUAAGCACCGGCUAACUACGUGCCAGCAGCCGCGGUAAUACGUAGGGUGCGAGCGUUAAUCGGAAUUACUGGGCGUAAAGCGAGCGCAGACGGUUUAUUAAGCAAGAUGUGAAAUCCCCGAGCUUAACUUGGGAACUGCGUUUUGAACUGGUAAGCUAGAGUAUGUCAGAGGGGGGUAGAAUUCCACGUGUAGCAGUGAAAUGCGUAGAGAUGUGGAGGAAUACCGAUGGCGAAGGCAGCCCCCUGGGAUAAUACUGACGUUCAUGCUCGAAAGCGUGGGUAGCAAACAGGAUUAGAUACCCUGGUAGUCCACGCCCUAAACGAUGUCAAUUAGCUGUUGGGGCACUUGAUGCCUUAGUAGCGUAGCUAACGCGUGAAAUUGACCGCCUGGGGAGUACGGUCGCAAGAUUA